GCAAACUUGGUCAUUUAGAGGAAGUAAAAGUCGUAACAAGGUUUCCGUAGGUGAACCUGCGGAAGGAUCAUUAUCGAAUAGGAGAAACGAAUCCAAAGGAGAUGAAGAGGGAGCGGGUGAAAUCUGGGACGAAUGGAUUGUCGCUGGUGAACUUGGUUUACAUGUGCACGUCCGUUCGUUCCUUAGUCCUCGCUGUCUCCUCCUUUGGAGGGAAACGAAACCUUGACCUUUUCAUUUACACCUGUGCACCUAUUGUAGGUCCCUUUGCGGGGAUCUAUGUUUUUCUAUCACACCAAACGUAUGUCUAUAGAAUGUCUUUAAUGCGUCGAUCGGCAUGGCUUAUUUAGCCUAGUCGGAGACGGUAAACUAUUAUACAACUUUCAGCAACGGAUCUCUUGGCUCUCGCAUCGAUGAAGAACGCAGC
rnacentral:misc_RNA from 1 species